rnacentral:rRNA from 1 species
AUACGGAGGGUGCAAGCGUUAUCCGGAUUCAUUGGGUUUAAAGGGUUCGCAGGCGGCGUAUUUAGUCAGUGGUGAAAUCCCGAGGCUCAACCUCGGAACUGCCAUUGAUACUGGUAUGCUAGAGUAUAGUUGGCGUUGGCGGAAUGUAUCAUGUAGCGGUGAAAUGCUUAGAUAUGAUACAGAACACCGAUCGCGAAGGCAGCUAACGAAACUAUAACUGACGCUCAGGAACGAAAGCGUGGGGAGCGAACAGGAUUAGAAACCCCGGUAGUCC